ensembl:lncRNA
AAUAAACAUAUAUCUUGAAUAUAUUUUUAGAGAAAACAGUGCUUAAAUGUCCACUUUUCUACACGUAUUAUGAUGAAGACAGUUCCUUGGUUUGUAGGAUUCUGUCUGUUAACAUUCAGUCAAGUUGAAAUGGAUCUGAAAAUCAUGACACAUGAAAGGCGGCUGGAGGAACAGUGGUUGGGAGAGAAUGAGUAACCGGUCUCAGUUAUCUUCAGGACUGCCAUGAAAAAUGGGAAGAAAGAAUACUCUGAGCUCCUCUGUAAGACAGAAUAAGGAUCAGUAAAGGUGGGGUUGAGGGCACUCUGCAGCCUUUAGUAGCCAAAGAAAGAACAUUUUAACAGAGACACUCCCAACAUUGGAAUAGUUUGCCUGAUACAACAGAUAACAAAGCAGUGUCACAGGCAGAGUUGUGACUGUUUUUAAGGGUAAUUGGGGCAGAAGCGUCUACAUGACAAGUGAGAUUGAAGCUAUUCCAUCUUUUCCAACCCGAAAAGGCAUUGUUCACUAAGCCAAAAAGUCAGUCUAAAAGUCUGGUGUUAAUACUAAGCAGAUAAUUAAUAAAUACUUUCAACACAUCAAGGUCUUCUAUAAGCAUACAACAGAUAAAUAGAACAUCGUGGUCAAUUAAUUCUUUGAAUGUUUUAGAAAUAGAUACAGGGUUGACAUUAGUUACUAUCCAAGAAAAAUUUAGGUUAUCUUAGUAUAUAAAAUAAUACCGUAUCUCAACAGCAGUCCAAAAUACUCUUAGGUAUUUCAAAGACUGUAGGAUUUAUUCUUUCUCUACAUGCCAGGUCACUUUUCCUGUGUACACUAUUAUUGUCUCAAACCUAGCUUAUUUUCUAUGGCUGCCUCCUAACUAGACAAUUAUUUCUAAUCUCUUUCCCCUGUAAUCCUCUGGAACACUCCAACUAGAUGUCUGCUACAACCCCUUUGGAACAAAUAACUAACUAUUCAAAAGUCUAGAAUGAGUCACCCAUUUAGAAAUAUGUAUGGAAAAGAUCAGAAUGGGCAUAAAAAUACAAAUAGUUAUUAAAGUUUAGGUAAGCAGUGUUUAAAUGUUCUUGGUGGAGUAUGAAUAAAGUUCGAAUUAUAAAUAAAAUCAGGUGCAAAACAAAGACUCUACAAGGAUCCCUUACUACCUAACAUACCACACACAAAAGUUCCAAUUUAACUUUUGAAAAGAACCUUCAUUAAGUCCUCCCAAUUGACCUUUUUUCUUACUACCUUUGCAAUAAAGGUCUGCUAAUAUUUCAUUGUCAAACUUUCCGCUCUCCCCUAACUCUCAUUCUUCUUCCUUGUCCUUCUCUCUGGAUUCUUCUUUCUACGCUAUUUGCUCUCUUCAUCCCUAAGAACAACUGCAUGCCAUCUGUGUGUUCACUUUGUCCCUAAUGUAGGUCCACCUCCUGAGGGUAGGGUCUUUGUUCUUCAUUCCACUCCCUGAAUCUAAAAUAGUGCUUUGCAAGUAAAAGAUGUUAAUGAACUAUCUGUUGAAUGAAUGAUUGUCAUUUCUGUGACUACACAAAUCCCUAACCUUCUUUCCCUUUUUGAAAUUGGAUAUAAAUUGAUUAUAUAUUGUGUGUGAUUUUAUAUUGCAUUAUAUCUUUUUCUAGUCAUGUUCACGCUUUAGCGUAGGUUUCUCAAGAUGAGAUUUUUGUCAUCCGUGUUAUUUAAUUCAAUACCUUUCAACAAAUUUUUAUUGAAAAUCUACUGUUGGUCAGGCACUUUAGUAGGAGUUAUAAGUUAAAAACUGUAUUUAACGAGAGUCAGUGAAGACCAAAUGGAAUAUUUCUCUGCUGAUUUCUUUUACACAAAAUAAAUAUACCUGAAAUCUACGGUCUAAAUAAAAAUAAUAGUAAAAUUUCUGUACUUUCAUACCAUCUU